CGCUGGCGGCAGGCCUAACACAUGCAAGUCGAGCGGAUGAAGAGAGCUUGCUCUCUGAUUCAGCGGCGGACGGGUGAGUAAUGCCUAGGAAUCUGCCUGGUAGUGGGGGACAACGUCUCGAAAGGGACGCUAAUACCGCAUACGUCCUACGGGAGAAAGCAGGGGACCUUCGGGCCUUGCGCUAUCAGAUGAGCCUAGGUCGGAUUAGCUAGUUGGUGAGGUAAUGGCUCACCAAGGCGACGAUCCGUAACUGGUCUGAGAGGAUGAUCAGUCACACUGGAACUGAGACACGGUCCAGACUCCUACGGGAGGCAGCAGUGGGGAAUAUUGGACAAUGGGCGAAAGCCUGAUCCAGCCAUGCCGCGUGUGUGAAGAAGGUCUUCGGAUUGUAAAGCACUUUAAGUUGGGAGGAAGGGCAGUAACUUAAUACGUUGCUGUUUUGACGUUACCGACAGAAUAAGCACCGGCU
rnacentral:rRNA from 1 species